rnacentral:rRNA from 1 species
GAUGAACGCUGGCGGCGUGCUUAACACAUGCAAGUCGAACGGAAAGGCCCGAGCUUGCUUGGGUACUCGAGUGCCGAACGGGUGAGUAACACGUGUGUGAACUGCCCUGCACUUCGGGAUAAACCUUGGGAACUGGGGCUAAUAUCGGAUAGGAUCUCUUCUUGGAUGUUGUUGUGGAAAGUUUUCUGGUUGUGGGAUGAGUUCGCGGCCUAUCCGCGUGUUGGUGGGGUAAUGGCGUAGCAAGGCGUCGACGGGUAGCCGGCCUGUGAGGGUGUAGGGCCACAUUAGGCCUCUGAUGCGGGCCACAGUCGUGCGGGUGGCAGCAAGGGCGAAUGUCGGACGAUGGGCGCCCGCGUGAUGCAGCGACGCCGCGUGAGGGAAGACGGCUUUCGGGUUGUAAGCUCCUUUCGCUAGGGACGAAGCGUCUUUGUGACGGUACCUGGAGAAGAAGCACCGGCUAACUACGUG